GCUCGCUUCAGCGGAACAUAGAGUAAAAUAGGAAUGAUGCAGAGAAGAUUAGCAUGGCCCCUGAGCAAGGAUGACAUGCAAAUUUGUGAAGCAUUCCAUAUUUGA